AAUGGUUCUCUGCCUUCAACCUGAGAGGAGAAAAGAGACUUUAAGAGUACGAGUGGGGGCGUUCCAACAAGGACUCUAAAAGCAAUCCAAUUUUGUAUGAGAAGGUUCAAAUGAUCCUCAGUGAUCGCUUCCAAGGUUUUUACAUGGUUCCGGAUAAUUGGCAUCUGAUUGUUGCUUUUAAAUGUUGUAAGUUUUGUAAGUUACAAUGUAGGAAACUUUUAUGAACUCGGUAAGUUUUUUAACUUAGAAUUUGAUACUUACAAGAAUUUUGGUACUUGGAA